UCGAGAAUCAUUCACAAUGGGCGAAAGCCUGAUGGUGUGACGCCGCGUGGAGGAUGACGGUCUUCGGAUUGUAAACUCCUGUCAUGUGAGAGUAAGAUUCAAGGAGUAACUGCCUGUGAAUUUGAGAGUAUCACAAGAGGAAGAGACGGCUAACUCUGUGCCAGCAGCCGCGGUAAUACAGAGGUCUCAAGCGUUGUUCGGAAUCACUGGGCGUAAAGGGUGCGUAGGCGGCGCGGAAAGUCAGAGGUGAAAUCCCGGGGCUCAACCCCGGAAUUGCCUCCGAUACUCCCGUGCUUGAGGGCUGGAGAGGAGUCUGGAAUUCACGGUGGAGCAGUGAAAUGCGUAGAUAUCGUGAGGAACACUAGUGGCGAAGGCGAGACUCUGGACAGUACCUGACGCUGAGGCACGAAGGCCAGGGGAGCGAACG
rnacentral:rRNA from 1 species